rnacentral:rRNA from 1 species
UGGGUAACCGUGCCUUAUACAGGGGGAGUAACAGUCAGAAAUGGCUGCUAAUACCGCAUAAGCGCACAGUGCUGCAUGGCACAGUGUGAAAAACUACCGGUGGUAUGAGAUGGACCCGCGUCUGAUUAGCUAGUUGGUGGGGUAACGGCCUACCAAGGCGACGAUCAGUAGCCGGCCUGAGAGGGUGAACGGCCACAUUGGGACUGAGACACGGCCCAAACUCCUACGGGAGGCAGCAUG